UACGGGGGGGGCAAGCGUUGUUCGGAAUUACUGGGCGUAAAGGGCUCGUAGGCGGCCAACUAAGUCAGACGUGAAAUCCCUCGGCUUAACCGGGGAACUGCGUCUGAUACUGGAUGGCUUGAGUUUGGGAGAGGGAUGCGGAAUUCCAGGUGUAGCGGUGAAAUGCGUAGAUAUCUGGAGGAACCCCGGUGGCGAAGGCGGCAUCCUGGACCAACACUGACGCUGAGACGCGAAAGCGUGGGGAGCAAACAGG
rnacentral:rRNA from 1 species